rnacentral:rRNA from 1 species
CCUACGGGUGGCAGCAGUGGGGAAUAUUGCACAAUGGGGGAAACCCUGAUGCAGCGACGCCGCGUGAGUGAAGAAGUAAUUCGUUAUGUAAAGCUCUAUCAGCAGGGACGAAAAUGACGGUACCUGAGUAAGAAGCCCCGGCUAACUACGUGCCAGCAGCCGCGGUAAUACGUAGGGGGCAAGCGUUAUCCGGAUUUACUGGGUGGAAAGGGAGCGUAGACGGCCGUGCAAGUCUGGAGUGAAAGGCAGGGGCUCAACCCCCGGACUGCUCUGGAAACUGUACGGCUGGAGUGCAGGAGAGGUAAGUGGAAUUCCUAGUGUAGCGGUGAAAUGCGUAGAUAUUAGGAGGAACACCAGUGGCGAAGGCGGCUUACUGGACUGUAACUGACGUUGAGGCUCGAAAGCGUGGGGAGCAAACAGGAUUAGAUACCCUGGUAGUC